GGCGGACGGGUGAGUAAUGUAUGGGGAUCUGCCCAAUGGUGGGGGAUAACUACUGGAAACGGUAGCUAAUACCGCAUAAUCUCUUAGGAGCAAAGCAGGGGAUCUUCGGACCUUGCGCCAUCGGAUGAACCCAUAUGGGAUUAGCUAGUAGGUGAGGUAAUGGCUCACCUAGGCGACGAUCUCUAGCUGGUCUGAGAGGAUGAUCAGCCACACUGGGACUGAGACACGGCCCAGACUCCUACGGGAGGCAGCAGUGGGGAAUAUUGCACAAUGGGCGCAAGCCUGAUGCAGCCAUGCCGCGUGUAUGAAGAAGGCCUUAGGGUUGUAAAGUACUUUCAGUCGGGAGGAAGGCGUUGAAACUAAUACUUUCAGCGAUUGACGUUACCGACAGAAGAAGCACCGGCUAACUCCGUGCCAGCAGCCGCGGUAAUACGGGGGGUGCAAGCGUUAAUCGGAAUUACUGGGCGUAAAGCGCACGCAGGCGGUUGAUUAAGUUAGAUGUGAAAGCCCCGGGCUUAAC
rnacentral:rRNA from 1 species